UCCUAGCCCCGAUAGCAGUGAAAAUCCUUAUAUGCCAUUGUUUGGUAUAUAAGAUUGUAGCGAAUAGCGGGAAUAGCU
rnacentral:sRNA from 1 species